CGGUGCCGGCCGACCCGGAAGCAUGUCUGUCCCUAGCGGAGGCGCGGGUGCCGUGCUGAGAGCGCCUGCCUGUGCGCCCCGAGCGGGGCUGGGACUCUUCCAAGAUGCCCACGUUCGCACAGAGACCCCGGAUCGCGGAAGCUCGCGUCUCGAAAGGCCUGUGGGUCAAGGGGGGCCAUCUCGGUGGGAUCUGGGGCGGGACGACCCCCACUGCUGAACCCUGGGCGCGGGGCAGGGUCAGAGGCUCCGCUCGGCCUCCCCCUGGAUGAGACGCGCAUGCCCGGUGUCCCCCGGCCGCCGUCGGCGUCGUGUCUUCAGUCCUUAUCGACUCCAGACUUUGGGGAUGCGUAUUAACGCCAGACUCCUGCAAAGUCUUGCCUUCAACACUCAGCCCCUGGGGAGAGACGGGUGGAGGGAUGACUGGAAACGUGGCCUCGACGUCCCUACAGAGCCCCUCCAGCGUGGGGAGGCCUAAGUACCUCAAGGUUCAGGCCCACGGAAGGAGUCGGGGGAGCGAGGCCCGGUGAUCUACGUGUGAAGGAGCUUGGACAGGACCUCACAAACGCCAGGGAGACGGCGAGGGGGUUCGUGCGUUUGUAACGUCUUGACAUCGCUGAUCCUCCCGCAGGCGGUCUCACGCCCUGCCCGUCCUGGGUUCACGGUUUUUCAUCACCUGCGGCUGUCCUGCGAUCGACCACAGCUGUGCAGGAGGGGCAGGAGGUAUCUGUUGCUGCAGUUACCGGAACCUUUGCCAGGACUAGUACAGGACCACGGGCUGGUAGCUCAGGGAUGUCUCGUCUGUGAGUUACAGCUGCACGCUCUCCAGGAAAGAAGGAAUUUCCUCUUCUCUGGAAACCCCACCACACAGCUGGUUUCUCAUUGGUGCUGCUUGCCCAUUCCCUGAGCUGUGACUGCCAGAGGAGUGGGAGGUUGGUGGUGCCUCCAGCCCAUCAGGGGCAGGCCCUGGGACCGCCUGGGAACAGGAGGACUAUGGCACAAACCGAGUGAGUGAUGGGAGCAACCCGCAGGGCUCUGCCACAUCCCUGUCUUCCUUCACUGACAUGAAACGCAGAAAAGGCAGCUUUGCCACAACACAGGAGCACGCACCGAAUGUGGCCGCCCAGGGCUCUGUCCUUGACCCUGUUGUCC
rnacentral:lncRNA from 1 species